UAUCCAUAGAUCUGAUAUCCAAUAUUAUGUCCAGCAUGGUAAAUUGAAUAUAGGUUAUGAUUUAACUCUGCAUCAUGUUUGUAAUCUGAAUGCCAAAUGUUAGCUAUCUUUUGUACCAUGUAUAGCUGUAUUAAUACAAUAUUCAGAAAAUAUCUAUAUAUUUGUAACCUUGUAUAAUGCACACUGAUCGUUCCAUUAAUAACGAAUAAGCACAGAUUUGAGUACUUUGAUGUCUAACUAAACUGUUUGCAGGAUACAUUUACAUAAAAUUGCAAAUCAUAUUGUUUUUAUGUGUGGGUGUGUAUAUAUGCACUUGUAUAUUAAGUAGAUAAAUAUAGAAAAUGCAAUGAGAAAAUGUUGAAAGGCUUUGUACAAUAGCAAACGCAUCUUAUGAGAGAGUUAAAAAGCUUCUAAAAUGAAGAAGUAUAUCUUUAGAGCAAUUGUUUAAAAAACAUAAUUGUCUUCAGAUUACACUAAACGAUAAAAUACAACCAUUAGAAAAGUAAUCACAUUUUCACAAAAAAAAAAUAUACAAUUUUAUUUAUUUUUCAUCAAAAAUUAAGGGGAAAUUAAAAAACAAAACGUAACAAAAUUCUGUUAUUAAAAUAAAGUUAAAUUAAAAGAUUUUGUUUAACUCUUUUAGUAGGAGAGUACAACGCAUUUCACGCUGCCCAGAUCCUCCUAUCCAACACUAACAUUUUUAGGUCAACAUGUUUAAAUCGUAUAACUGCCACUUUGUUCCUACAGAUUUUAAUCAGAGGGUGUGUGAUAGGUAUUUUGGAUUGUAUAUGCACUGAUAAUCACAGCUAUACAUUCACAGAUUUUAAUUUGUAAAGGUGUUAAUAAAAAUAAUCAGGACAUCUAUAGCCUCUUCUUGCAUAUAGAACUUACACAUUCAGAUUUGUGAUCCAUUUUAUGUUAAGUACGUUGCAUCAUGCAUCAAUACUCAAGGACAUAUUCCAAGGACAAUCCCAGAAUCUGUAACUGCAUGACCUCACAUUCCAUUCUGUCCAAUCUUCAUCCAUUUGUAAGAUAAUUGGUGAUUUAUUGGCGAUAUCUUAACAUGGUUCUAGAUUCCUUGUCUGCUUUGAUAAUCCUUUGCGACUAUACAAUGUAAAAUAUAUUCUACAAAUGUAUUGCCUUCGAACAAAGAUGGAGGAUUGCUCUUUUGUGAAAAAAAAAUAGAUAAAAAAUAAGUUAUAAAAUGAAAAAAAUAAAAAAGCAUGUAUUUUUUUUACUUGCGCAGAGUCUUUUUGAGAUGCGAUCAAUUUUAUGAGUUUGGCCUUGAGCUGGGGGGAGGGGUUAACAAAAAAAAAGGUUUUGUACAGUUUUAUUAAGAAACGUGAAGAUUAUUCACAGACCUGUGUAAAAAAUAUAAUGUAAUAAACAUGCUGCAUGCAGCUAAAUUGAUUUUAAAAAA